rnacentral:rRNA from 1 species
GACGAACGCUGGCGGCGUGCUUAACACAUGCAAGUCGAACGGAAAGGCCCUGCUUUUGUGGGGUGCUCGAGUGGCGAACGGGUGAGUAACACGUGAGUAACCUGCCCUUGACUUUGGGAUAACUUCAGGAAACUGGGGCUAAUACCGGAUAGGAGCUCCUGCUGCAUGGUGGGGGUUGGAAAGUUUCGGCGGUUGGGGAUGGACUCGCGGCUCAUCAGCUUGUUGGUGGGGUAGUGGCUUACCAAGGCUUGGACGGGUGGCCGGCCUGAGAGGGUGACCGGCCACAUUGGGACUGAGAUACGGCACAGACUCCUACGGGAGGCAGCGGUGGGGAAUAUUGCACUGUGGGAGGAAGCCUGAUGCAGCCACGCCGCGUGCGGGAUGACGGCAUUCGGGUUGUAAACCGCUUUCGCCUGUGACGAAGCGUGAGUGACGGUAAUGGGUAAAGAAGCACCGGCUAACUACGUG